GACGAACGCUGGCGGCGUGCUUAACACAUGCAAGUCGAACGGUAAGGCCCUGCUUUUGUGGGGUGCUCGAGUGGCGAAAGGGUGAGUAACACGUGAGUAACCUGCCCUUUACUGUGGGAUAACUUCAGGAAACUGGGGAUAAUACCGGAUAGGAGCUCCUGCUGCACGGUGGGGGUUGGAAAGUUUCGGCGGUUGGGGACGGACUCGCGGCUUAUCAGCUUGUUGGUGGGGUAGUGGCUUACCAAGGCUUGGACGGGUCGCCGGCCUGAGAGGGUGACCGGCCACAUUGGGACUGAGAUGCGGCCGAGACGCCUACGGGAGGCAGCAGGGGGGAAUAUUGCACAAUGGGCGGAAGCCUGAUGAAGCAACGCCGCGUGCGGGAUGACGGCCUUCGGGUUGUAAACCGCUUUCGCCUGUGACGAAGCGUGAGUGACGGUAAUGGGUAAAGAAGCACCGGCUAACUACGU
rnacentral:rRNA from 1 species